GUUUGAGCUCGCUGCUAUUGAAAAGAGAGAAAAAAACCCUUUCGUCGGCCUUAUUUUUCUUCUUUUGAUCUGCAACUUCCAGUUCCGAUCUCGCUUUAGGAAGCAAUGGCCAUGGCAGCUCUGAGACGUGAAGGGAGGCGGCUCGCUACUGUGAUCUCUCCUCAACCAAUCACCGCUCUCCGGUCUUCCCUCGUUUACGAGGAACAAGCUCCUCUUGGUGUUCGCUCCAUCUCCACUCAAGUGGUUAGAAAUCGAAUGAAGAGUGUGAAAAAUAUCCAGAAAAUUACAAAGGCAAUGAAGAUGGUU
rnacentral:misc_RNA from 1 species